GCUGUCAUGUGCAGGCUCGUUCCGCGAAUCGCCAAUGGUUGGUGGUGGUGUUGUUUGUGGAUAUAUUUUAUGGGUUUUUCGUAGGUGUUAAUUUUCGUUCGUGUUGUUUUUCCUUUUGUUUGGACCCUUUCUGCAAAAGCGGAGGUGUAAAUUUUAUUGCGGCCAGUAGUCGUGAGCUGUGCGUUUGUUUGGACGGAAAGUUUUCGGUGAUUAAAGAUCGCAAAAACAGCAGCAGCAAAAAAGUGUUCCGCGGUGUCAACAACACAGACGAGACCCAUCCAAGGCAAUGGGAGCAGCAUUUGGCGGAAGUAAUCACAGCAGCAGCCUCGAGUACCUGUAACCAGCGCAACCCCGUUGGGGCUUUGUUUCGCGGUGAUCAACUGCUCUACACGAUCAUCCAGCCGCUAAGCGCCCACACACGUCCUUGACUGGGGGUCGUGCAGUUGGGGAGAGAAAAAUCAUCCGUCCCAACCGUACCGCAGCAGUGCGUGCGCCAGCACAGCAUCCCCAGUUUGUUCGUAAGCGAUGGACCGUCAAAACGAACAACGCCGGCAGUUUAUCCGAUCGCUAACGGAGCAGCAGCACAGCACGGAAGACCAACAUCAUCAGCGGGAGGAGUAUGUGCUGGAUGCAGAAACAGAACAGCGACCACCGUGCCAGAGCACGGCAGACCUGGCCGGGGAAGAAAACACGGAACCGGCUACUGCUGCGGAAAGCUCGGCUCGCGGAACCGCUAACGUUCGAUCCCGUGUACGCUACUGGCUGAACGAUAUCGUCGAUGAAAUGCGAAAGAAAAGUCCCGCCUCGGUACAGAAAUGGGUCGACUCGAUACAGCUACCAACAGCCGGAAGUUCCGCCGGAGGAGGAGGAUCGGCCGGCGCCGAUACCGUCGCACCCGCCCAGGAUGAUCCGACGGCAUACGAACCGGACUUUGCACGGUCCAAUCAGCUAGCGGGCACCGUCUCACAGCAACCGGACGAUGCUGACGCGCACGGUCGUUGGGAAGAAACGGUAGACCGGCACGAUACGGAACCGGAGGAAGACGAUCAGCAGCUUGCCUUUUCUUACGAUGAUACUCGAGAGGGUUCCGGUCCUCAGGAACGCGUACUUAUCGACCCGAACCACACUAAGAACAACAUUCCAUCGGAACCGGCUUCUUGUACGCAACUUGCCACCAGCACACCGAAAGCAAUCAAACCGGAAGAACCAGCAACGGACGCAACACCUGCAACCGCUGGGCUAUCGAUUCGCAACUUUUUGUCGAAAAAAUCGCUUCUCGGAAAGUUUAGUCGAACGGGAUCGAAUCUCGUCGACCAGAGUCCAGCAAUGACAGUGGCCGACAAUGUCCUGUCCGCAGAACAUCCGGAUACGCCACAGGAGAAGAACGCCGAGGAACCCGUUCCCUCGCGCUUUGUGGCCGGUAAAAGCAAAAUAAACGAAUUCUACGACAAGCUCAACAUGAACAAAGCCAAGUACGGCUUAAUAAAGGCGAAAAAGCUCGACAUUCGCCAGAUGCUUGGUGGUGGUGGUGGUGGUGCGAGUGGAACUCGUGAAGAUGGCCGGCACAUGCAUGAACCUGCACCGCAAUCGCUACAGCCAGCCACCACUGCUGGGCCACAUUUCCGUACGGAUGGAGCGGUUGGAGAGGUGGAAGGACGGGCAAGCGAGCAGGACGAGGAACAUGAGCGAUCCGUUUCGCCGGUCCACCUGCACGAACCGCUGGAAGUGAGCGUGGUCGAUGUGGAUCCGUCCGAUGCGUACGAGUUUUCGUUCGACGAAUCGUUCCCCAAAUCGGACGAACUGAUCCCGGGCAUGAUCAGCGAGGAAGACGAGGAGGAGGAAAAGGAAAACAUACUGGACGGUGGUGGUGCGUCCGGGGUGCCGGGCCACGCGUACGAUGCGUACCUGAACCCACCGAAACCGAAAACGCACCGCAUGGGCAUCGGACGGAUAGGGCGCAGCUCGAGCGAGAACCCGCGGGCCACCGCACGGCGCUACAAUCUGAUGGAAAUUGGGCGCAGCUUUAGUGAGAUGAACGAUGAUGACGAUUCGUUUGCGAUCGGCGAGUGUAACAAUAGCUGCCCGAACCCUUCGUCGCUUAACACGAGCUCAAGCAUCAACAAUGGCAGCAUCAACAACCUUACCCGCUCCGUUCCGGUUAGUCCGAUUCCGCGCACGUCCAGCAAGCUUAGCAUACAGCAGGACUCCCAGCAGCAGCAGCAGCAUCAGGCACACCAGCAGCAGCACCAGCACCAGCAACCAUCGUCUCAAAGGCGCCGGAGUACGAUGCUGGUAAAGGAUAGUUCGCUGCAGUCCGAUUCCAGCCGCUGCUCGAGCGUGGAAAGUUUGCUGAAUGCGCGCAAACCGGACCCGGAAAAGAUACUGCUCAAUCUGGGCUUCGGACCGGCACCGCACAGUACGGAUGUGUUGGCCAAAAUACCGAAACGGUUUCUUAAACCAUCCCAAGUGCGUGGAGUCGAUACGGAAGCUUUCCUGCGGCAGCAGCAACUGUCGAUGCACAUCCAUGAGAAUAGUGUUCUCGGUUAUCGGGGACUAGUAGCCGAUUACGAAAAGCUGCACAUUUUGCAGCGCUUUCAGUCGCGACCCAUGUAAAGCAAAUAAAAACCCCUAACCUCAUGAUCGUGAUCGGGUGGUGGUCGAUUGGGCGUACCGUGUUAGCAUAAUUUCAUCCUCAUCAAGCACACAACCCCGGGUGGAUCGUACCGGUACGAGGCGCGAAUUAUUUCGCUCGGAUCGUUCUCUGUGUUCGUGUCACCGCACACACGCAUCGCCGGUGUUUUCUAACAUGCUAGCCCUAGUCUAUUAGCACCUUUACUUAAUGUACUCUACACGACCUACUGUGCAUCAUCUCAUUAACAAACGCGUGGAGAUGCUGUAGUUGCGAAGAGGAUACCGAAACAGUUGUGGCUAGCAACAGGAACACAAAGAGAGAGAGAGAGAGAGAGAAAAACCGUGUAAGCUGUUAGAAGGAGAAAACAAGUAAUCCGCACAUUCCGCCGUCGAUGAUUGUGGCCAAAAUUAUGGAACGGUUUCAGGAGAACGACACCAAGACGCGGCUGACGGCCGCCGGUGUACCGCUGCUCCAGUCAUCCGACAGCCGCAACUCGUCCGGACCACCGUCACCGAUACCGAUGACACGGCACGCCUCUCUAGCGACGGCCGACGGUCGUCUCAAAUACUAGCUCCGAUCCGAUCCGACCAUACCGGAUCCCGGCCGUGGGUGGUUUACGGACACCCGAGCGGGACCGGAUCGGGUGUGUGAUCCUCAAGUGUGAUACUUUUAAACCGUACGCCGCAGCACACGAUUAUUACGAGCUGAGAUGAGAUUUUAAUGUAUCCUUAACUUUUAAACUGGCAGCAUGUGUGUGUGUGUGUGUGGUUGUGUACCUCAGUUUACUAAUUCCCCAUUUUUUUUCGGAUCAGAAUCAGCAAGCGCACACACACACACACACGCACAGCCUAUUUCUAUCUAUCUACUACAACUCACCGUACUAUUGUACCUAUUUUAUACUACCAACUUUCUCCAAGCGAGCUUUAACGAGACUUGUAGACUUUGUAGACCUUCCUACUACUAUUCUCCUUCAAACCUCUUCUCACGACAUCAGCAUUAUUUUGUAUGGAGAAGCAUACGCGUGAAAGGGAAUCGAAGAACACACACACACACAGAGGAUAAGCUAAAAGCAAAGGUGUUGUUAGUAUCAUUCGAGAAUCAUAAUGAGCGACUAGAGAAGUGGCUAGAAGUAGAGAAGACUGGUUGGAACGCGUUGGGUGUUGUGGGAUUCAAUCUGCUUUGGUCCUUACUCUUUUUAUCACCAUUUUAUCACCAAUUGUGUAGCAAUCCCUGCUCCUUCGGCCUUGUGAUGAUGAUGAUGAUGAUGUGUUGUGUAGGAUUAUUUACCUUAGGUAAUAGGCUAGCCUCUACGAAUGGUGUAAGAUAUUAGAUAUUCCACCGGUUUUUUGUUUGUUUGUUUAGUUUGUAUGCACGGUGGCUAAAAUAGGAUACUCUCGAAGGCGUGGUUGAAAAUACGGGGUGAAAGUAGACAACAUAGCAAAAAGCGCAAUCAAACGUAGCAGAGAAUGGUAAAAUGGCACGAGCUUACUGUACGGGACUGGUGCGGGAGUUCUAAAGAGCCCACCUUGUAACACGCGGGAACACAGCAUUUCUAAAGGAUUUUUAAAACCAAUCAGAAUCUCUCGCUCUAUCUCCCUUUCCGAAUGCAUAUCUCAUCAACGUAAUGAUGUUUUUCCGCACUGUUAGUCGGUCCCUCGGUCGGACUCAAAAUUUUUGUAUUCACCUUAGAGAAGUAUGCAGCAAAUCGUUACUAUUUCAAAAAUCUGGAAAUGGAAAUUUUUAACUGAUUCAAUUCAUAAAGAAAUGGUCCGAGUUAGGGAGAUCACCACUAGAACCGUUUUUAUAAAGCAACACACCUACAACACUAGGACCGGGAAGGGAGUCGAUCUGAGGGUCGGUAAGAGUUGUUCUCAUUUCAAGUUGUUCCUGUUCUGAGUCUGACACACAACCGGCAAAGCCCCUUGAAGCACUUGUUAGCUGAAUAAACGUUGUAACGUAAAACGAACAGC